rnacentral:rRNA from 1 species
AAUAGAUACCCUGGUAGUCCACGCCGUAAACGAUGGAUACUAGCUGUUUGAGCGCAAGUUUGAGUGGCUAAGCGAAAGUGAUAAGUAUCCCACCUGGGGAGUACGGGCGCAAGCCUGAAACUCAAAGGAAUUGACGGGGGCCCGCACAAGCGGUGGAGCAUGUGGUUUAAUUCGAUGAUACGCGAGGAACCUUACCAGGGCUUAAAUGUAGAUUGACGUAUUUGGAAACAGAUAUUUCUUCGGACAAUUUACAAGGUGCUGCAUGGUUGUCGUCAGCUCGUGCCGUGAGGUGUCAGGUUAAGUCCUAUAACGAGCGCAACCCCUGUUGUUAGUUGCCAGCGAGUAGUGUCGGGAACUCUAGCAAGACUGCCAGUGUAAACUGUGAGGAAGGUGGGGAUGACGUCAAAUCAUCACGGCCCUUACGUCCUGGGCCACACACGUGCUACAAUGGCCGGUACAGAGAGCAGCCACUUAGCGAUAAGGAGCGAAUCUAUAAAGCCGGUCACAGUUCGGA